CAUUUAUUUUUUCUUUUUCUUUCUUCCUUCGAGGGUAAUGGCCGGUUCUUUCUUCUUCUUUUUUCUUUGUUCUUUUUUCUGCCUUCUUCCUUCUUUCCCUUCUUCCUUCUUUCUUCCCCUUAUUUCUUUUCUUCCCCAGCCUUAUUUCUUCACACAGUCACAGAGAGCCAGAGAGGGAAAUGGAAGACGGAGACCGAGAGAGCUGGAGAUCCGGUCUGUGAGGGAGAUGGAAGAGGGAGACCGGUCGGAGCUGGAGAUGGAAGAGGGAGAUCGAUUUCCGGCGACCGAUUCUCAGGGAUUGGUAUUUUUUUUCUGGUUUUAUUUCCGGCGAUUUGCUGUUGUUUGGGUGUAUUGAAUUUGAUUUUGGGUUUCGGGCGUUUUGGUUUGAUAAUUUCGGGCGAAUUGGUUUGAUGAUUUAGGGUUUCUCUUGUAUUGAUUUUUUUUUCCCA